rnacentral:lncRNA from 1 species
GGUGAGCCGGACGCAGGCGUGCCUGCGCAGUGCGCGGAGGAGUGCUGUUCGUGUGUUCGAGUCCCUGGGUUGCUUCCUGGGGUCUGUGGUGCUGGGUGUGCUAUCUGCGUGUGAUUCUCUAGCGAGAGAUUGUGGGCGAGUGACCGAGUGGGCAAGGGGCCGUCACUGUGUGUGCGUGAUUUUGACAGUGUGUGGUGGUAGCUUCUGACUCCGCGUGGGUCGUUGAAUGUAUGACUGGGACCGUUUAGCGGUGGAUACACAACUGUGUGCGGCUGUGGAAGAUUGCCUCAUCCGUUACGUUCCCAUUUCCGUGGAACAACAGUUUUACCAGAAGGUUUCGAAGGAACCUUAAAGUUUGGAAGCGUAAGAGUUUAUCUGGUAACUAAUUUUAAACAUUACAUCUAUGGUGAGUUAAAUGUGGGUUAUGAAGGAGAACGCAAAAUAAAAACGUUAUAAAGAUGUAAAGGAGUUUUAUGGGGCGGCAUCUCUUGGGCAAAUAUCAGACCGCCGUAGGUAGUUGUUAAUUCUCUCUUGUUUUUAGGCGGCUUUGGUGUCAUCAAAUGUGAGAAGCCCUGGACUUUACACAUCCCGAGCCAGUGUGAUCCAGUAUGAUUGGGAGUCCGAGUGCCAGAUGCCGGUCAGGACCUGUUAUGCUGGGUCUCAGAAUGCGGAAACUCUCCCUGUCCGAGGUGGAACAGUUUGUCCUUGAGUGAGGACUGGAGUCCUGAGUGACUCUUUUGAUUUGAUCCUGUUUCCCUCAAACCUGAGAUGGGAGCCUCACUGUAUUGCCCAGGCUGGUCUUGAACUCCGGAGCUCAAGUGAUCGUCUUGCUUCAGCCUUGCAAAAUGAUGGUGAAGCUGCAUCAUUGUCUGGGGUAAAUACCUGAGGUUCGUUGUCUCACGCCAAGGGAAUCAAGGACGUGGACACACAAGAAAUGGAGUCCCUGUCUGACCGGGCCAUGUUGUAUGUUCCUUGCUGUACACGUGGUUGACAAAGAAAAGGGAAGAUGGAGCUGCGAUGUUGGACAUGCCUGGCCCCCAGGACAUACAGCCCUGCCGAGCAAAUAAUGAACGUAACUCACAAACUUCCUGCUUAUCAUCAAACGCACGCAUCCACUUAUCAUCAAACACCUCGGGUGACAGAAGAAUGCAGGUCAGCUCCCUGCUGCCUUGGCAUUAUCAAUCAGCCCAGGAACCAUCCUAUAAAAUCUCCAGCAAGCCUUUGUUUCCUUGCAGUCAGCUCCUCUUCCACUGAUUCUGCCUGUUGCUCCCUGAUAACAUACUUUGAUACUGUCUUUAAUAAAUCUGCCUUUCUUCACAAAAAAAAAAAAAAAAAAAAAAAAAAAAAA